rnacentral:rRNA from 1 species
GACGAACGCUGGCGGCGUGCUUAACACAUGCAAGUCGAACGGAAAGGCCCUGCUUUUGUGGGGUGCUCGAGUGGCGAACGGGUGAGUAACACGUGAGUAACCUGCCCUUGACUUUGGGAUAACUUCAGGAAACUGGGGCUAAUACCGGAUAGGAGCUCCUGCUGCAUGGUGGGGGUUGGAAAGUUUCGGCGGUUGGGGAUGGACUCGCGGCUUAUCAGCUUGUUGGUGGGGUAGUGGCUUACCAAGGCUUUGACGGGUAGCCGGCCUGAGAGGGUGACCGGCCACAAUGGGACUGAGAGACGGCCCAGAAGCCUACGGGAGGCAGCAGUGGGGAAUAUUGCACAAUGGGCGGGAGCCUGAUGCAGCAACGCCGCGUGCGGGAUGACGGCCUUCGGGUUGUAAACCGCUUUCGCCUGUGACGAAGCGUGAGUGACGGUAAUGGGUAAAGAAGCACCGGCUAACUACGUG